UACGUAGGUGGCAAGCGUUGUCCGGAUUUACUGGGCGUAAAGAGCGCGCAGGCGGUCGUUCAAGUCGCGUGUGAAAGCCCCCGGCUCAACUGGGGAGGGUCACGCGAUACUGAUCGACUCGAAGGCAGGAGAGGGUAGUGGAAUUCCCGGUGUAGUGGUGAAAUGCGUAGAUAUCGGGAGGAACACCAGUGGCGAAGGCGACUACCUGGCCUGUUCUUGACGCUGAGGCGCGAAGGCGUGGGGAGCGAACGGG
rnacentral:rRNA from 1 species